UAGAAGGUAGUACAACUCUAGUAGAAGGUAGUACAACUCUCGUAGAACGUAGUACAACUCUCGUAGAACGUAGUACAACUCUAGUAGAAGGUAGUACAACUCUAGUAGAAGGUAGUACAACUCUAGUAGAAGGUAGUACAACUCUAGUAGAAGGUAGUGCAACUCUAGUAGAAGGUAGUGCAACUCUAGUAGAAGGUAGUGCAACUCUAGUAGAAGGUAGUACAACUCUAGUAGAAGGUAGUACAACUCUAGUAGAAGGUAGUACAACUCUAGUAGAAGGUAGUACAACUCUAGUAGAAGGUAGUACAACUCUAGUAGAAGGUAGUGCAACUCUAGUAGAAGGUAGUACAACUCUAGUAGAAGGUAGUACAACUCUAGUAGAAGGUAGUACAACUCUAGUAGAAGGUAGUGCAACUCUAGUAGAAGGUAGUACAACUUUAGACUAGUGGUUGAACUGUCACUGUACAGGUUAAUAACUGUAGAUCUGUAGAACAUGUACAAGAGUCACAAUGCAUCAAUUUUAUCGUCUCUCCGUAACCCAGCACUUACCAGUCUGUUGAACACAGUGGUCAGAUCGUCUCUCCGUAACCCAGCACUUACCAGUCUGUAGGACACAGUGGUCAGAUCGUCUCUGUAACCCAACACUUACCAGUCUGUAGGACACAGUGGGGCUGAUGGACUGAAUACAGACAUCUGGGGCUGAUGGACUGAAU